UUAAAGCUGCGUUGUACGUACGAAUAUUAAGUUUUAACCUUUAAGCUGUAAAAGGGAGUUUUAGAUCGAAGUUGGAAUGGCGAGCGUCACAUUCGUGAUUGACGAUAUACAGGAAAACUUUUGCGAACACCCACUUUGAGGAGUGGUGGUUUAAAACUUUCUAUCAAUAUUACGGCAAGGCGGCUUGCCU
rnacentral:other from 1 species